GUAUCAUGGCUCAGGAUGAACGCUAGCGACAGGCUUAACACAUGCAAGUCGAGGGGCGAGCAUGAACUUAGCUUGCUAAGUUUGAUGGCGACCGGCGCACGGGUGAGUAACGCGUAUGCAACUUGCCUAUCAGAGGAGAAUAGCUCAUCGAAAGAUGAAUUAAUGCUCCAUAAAACAGGGGUCCCGCAUGGGAAUAUUUGUUAAAGAUUCAUCGCUG
rnacentral:rRNA from 1 species